rnacentral:rRNA from 1 species
CCGAACGCUGGCGGCAGGCCUAACACAUGCAAGUCGAGCGGUAGCACAGAGAGCUUGCUCUCGGGUGACGAGCGGCGGACGGGUGAGUAAUGUCUGGGAAACUGCCUGAUGGAGGGGGAUAACUACUGGAAACGGUAGCUAAUACCGCAUAACGUCGCAAGACCAAAGUGGGGGACCUUCGGGCCUCAUGCCAUCAGAUGUGCCCAGAUGGGAUUAGCUAGUAGGUGGGGUAAUGGCUCACCUAGGCGACGAUCCCUAGCUGGUCUGAGAGGAUGACCAGCCACACUGGAACUGAGACACGGUCCAGACUCCUACGGGAGGCAGCAGUGGGGAAUAUUGCACAAUGGGCGCAAGCCUGAUGCAGCCAUGCCGCGUGUAUGAAGAAGGCCUUCGGGUUGUAAAGUACUUUCAGCGAGGAGGAAGGCGUUAAGGUUAAUAACCUUGGCGAUUGACGUUACUCGCAGAAGAAGCACCGGCUAACUCCGUGCCAGCAGCCGCGGUAAUACGGAGGGUGCAAGCGUUAAUCGGAAUUACUGGGCGUAAAGCGCACGCAGGCGGUCUGUCAAGUCGGAUGUGAAAUCCCCGGGCUCAACCUGGGAACUGCAUUCGAAACUGGCAGGCUAGAGUCUUGUAGAGGGGGGUAGAAUUCCAGGUGUAGCGGUGAAAUGCGUAGAGAUCUGGAGGAAUACCGGUGGCGAAGGCGGCCCCCUGGACAAAGACUGACGCUCAGGUGCGAAAGCGUGGGGAGCAAACAGGAUUAGAUACCCUGGUAGUCCACGCCGUAAACGAUGUCGACUUGGAGGUUGUGCCCUUGAGGCGUGGCUUCCGGAGCUAACGCGUUAAGUCGACCGCCUGGGGAGUACGGCCGCAAGGUUAAAACUCAAAUGAAUUGACGGGGGCCCGCACAAGCGGUGGAGCAUGUGGUUUAAUUCGAUGCAACGCGAAGAACCUUACCUACUCUUGACAUCCAGAGAACUUAGCAGAGAUGCUUUGGUGCCUUCGGGAACUCUGAGACAGGUGCUGCAUGGCUGUCGUCAGCUCGUGUUGUGAAAUGUUGGGUUAAGUCCCGCAACGAGCGCAACCCUUAUCCUUUGUUGCCAGCGGUCCGGCCGGGAACACAAAGGAGACUGCCAGUGAUAAACUGGAGGAAGGUGGGGAUGACGUCAAGUCAUCAUGGCCCUUACGAGUAGGGCUACACACGUGCUACAAUGGCAUAUACAAAGAGAAGCGACCUCGCGAGAGCAAGCGGACCUCAUAAAGUAUGUCGUAGUCCGGAUUGGAGUCUGCAACUCGACUCCAUGAAGUCGGAAUCGCUAGUAAUCGUAGAUCAGAAUGCUACGGUGAAUACGUUCCCGGGCCUUGUACACACCGCCCGUCACACCAUGGGAGUGGGUUGCAAAAGAAGUAGGUAGCUUAACCUUCGGGAGGGCGCUUACCACUUUGUGAUUCAUGACUUAA